rnacentral:rRNA from 1 species
UGGGGAAUCUUGCGCAAUGGGCGAAAGCCUGACGCAGCCAUGCCGCGUGAAUGAUGAAGGUCUUAGGAUUGUAAAAUUCUUUCACCGGGGACGAUAAUGACGGUACCCGGAGAAGAAGCCCCGGCUAACUUCGUGCCAGCAGCCGCGGUAAUACGAAGGGGGCUAGCGUUGCUCGGAAUUACUGGGCGUAAAGGGCGCGUAGGCGGACAUUUAAGUCAGGGGUGAAAUCCCAGAGCUCAACUCUGGAACUGCCUUUGAUACUGGGUGUCUUGAGUGUGAGAGAGGUAUGUGGAACUCCGAGUGUAGAGGUGAAAUUCGUAGAUAUUCGGAAGAACACCAGUGGCGAAGGCGGCAUACUGGCUCAUUACUGACGCUGAGGCGCGAAAGCGUGGGGAGCAAACAGGAUUAGAUACCCUCGUAGUCCCUGAGCGGGCUGGCAAGGCGCAU